rnacentral:rRNA from 1 species
GAUGAACGCUGGCGGCGUGCCUAAUACAUGCAAGUCGAGCGAAGCGGGGACGGGUGAGUAACACGUGGAUAACCUCCUAUAAGACUGGGAUAACUUCGGGAAACCGGAGCUAAACCGGAUACUUAUAGAUGUAUCCUCGCUGCAUUAGCUAGUUGGUAAGGUAACGGCUUACCAAGGCAACGAUGCAUAGCCGACCUGAGAGGGGAGUCCCCCCCACUGGAACUGAGACACGGUCCAGACGCCUCCAGUACUCGUACAUAAAUAAUCUUCCGCAAUGCGCGAAAGCCUGACACAGCAACGCCGCGUGAGUGAUGAACGUCUUCGGAUCUUAAAACUCUGUUAUUAGGGAAGCGGUACCUAAUCAGAAAGCCACGGCUAACUACGUGCCAGCAGCCGCGGUAAUUC